rnacentral:rRNA from 1 species
UACGGGGGGGGGCAAGCGUUGUUCGGAAUUACUGGGCGUAAAGGGCUCGUAGGCGGCCAACUAAGUCGGAUGUGAAAUCCCCAGGCUUAACCUGGGAACUGCAUCCGAUACUGGAUGGCUUGAAUCCGGGAGAGGGAUGCGGAAUUCCAGGUGUAGCGGUGAAAUGCGUAGAUAUCUGGAGGAACACCGGUGGCGAAGGCGGCAUCCUGGACCGGUAUUGACGCUGAGGCGCGAAAGCUAGGGGAGCAAACGGG